CUCGAUCACGUCUUCACAGUCU
rnacentral:siRNA from 1 species